AGUAAAAUACUGGUUAAUGAUAGCAAUGCAUUGUAAAACUUUCAGAAGAAAAUGAGAACAUUUUGUGGACCAUUUGUUGUGUGUGUGUGUGUGUGUGGCAGUUUUUUGGUAAUUUUUAAAAUCAGUACUAUUUAAUGGAAACAACUUGACCAAAAUCUUGUCACAGAAUUUUGAGACCCAUUAAAAUGAACAUUUAAUGAGAAUUUAAAAAAGUAAAAAAAAGUAAAAAAAAAUUAAAAA